CCUACGGGUGGCAGCAGUAGGGAAUAUUGCUCAAUGGGCGAACCCCUGAAGCAGCUACGUCGCGUGGAGGAUGAAGGUUCUCGGAUUGUUAACCCUCUUUGUUCGAGAAGAUAAUGCCGCUACCUAUCGAAUAAGUACCGGCUAACUCCGUGCCAGCAGCCGCGGGCACACGGAGGGCGCAAGCGUUACUCCGAAUGAUUGGGCGGAAAGGGCGAGUUGGCGGGAUUGCAAGUCAGAUGUGAAAUCCGCUGGCUUAACCAUAGAACUGCAGUUGAAACUGUUAUUCUUGAGUGUGGGAGAGGUAGGUGGAAUGCGUGGUGUAGCGGUGAAAUCCAUAGAGAUCACGCAGAAUACUCAUUGCGAAGGCAGCCUACUAGCGCAUAACUGACGCUGAUGCACGAAAGCGUGGGUAGCGAACAGGAUUAGAUACCCUGGUAGUC
rnacentral:rRNA from 1 species